UGGAAAUGAUGAAAUAGAGAUAAUUGGGUGUUGAGUGUUGGAUGAUUGAAUUUUUCAGUAAGUGUUUUAAGUAAUUAUUAGUCUCAGUGUAAUAUUUUAUGUAAUUGUGUGCAUGAGGGUGUGUGUGUGUGCGUGAGUGUGGAGCUAUGGAAAGGGGGCACUGACUGGUGAUGCUGAUUCCGGAGUGCAUCUGAGGCUGUUGUAGAAAUACCUGGGUGCUGAUUACAACACUGCCAGUGAUUAUAACCCAAGAAGAGCUCACCUGACUAGCCUAGCACCCUAAAAUCUCUAACAGGUUCAUUAAACAUGGCCCUGUGAUCUGAUCCAA
ensembl:snoRNA SCARNA7 small Cajal body-specific RNA 7